rnacentral:rRNA from 1 species
UACGUAGGGGGCAAGCGUUGUCCGGAUUUAUUGGGCGUAAAGAGCGUGUAGGCGGCUAGAUAGGUCCGUUGUGAAAACUCGAGGCUCAACCUCGAGACGUCGAUGGAAACCAUCUGGCUAGAGUCCGGAAGAGGAGAGUGGAAUUCCUGGUGUAGCGGUGAAAUGCGCAGAUAUCAGGAGGAACACCAAUGGCGAAGGCAGCACUCUGGGACGUGACUGACGCUGAGACGCGAAAGCUAGGGGAGCAAACGGG